CAGCAGCCACGGUAAUACGUAUGUCGCGAGCGUUAUCCGGAAUUAUUGGGCAUAAAGGGCAUCUAGGCGGCCGGAUAAGUCUGGGGUGAAAACUUGCGGCUCAACCGCAAGCCUGCCCUGGAAACUAUGCGGCUAGAGUACUGGAGAGGUGGACGGAACUGCACGAGUAGAGGUGAAAUUCGUAGAUAUGUGCAGGAAUGCCGAUGAUGAAGAUAGUUCACUGGACGGUAACUGACGCUGAAGUGCGAAAGCUAGGGGAGCAAACAGGAUUAGAUACCCCGGUAGCCCUGUCUCUUAUACA
rnacentral:rRNA from 1 species